AUUCCAGCUCCAAUAGCGUAUAUUAAAGUUGUUGCAGUUAAAAAGCUCGUAGUUGGAUUUCUGGCAGGAGUGACCGGUCACACACUCUGUGUGUGAACUCGCGUUGUCUCUGGCCAUCCUUGGGGAGAUCCUGUUUGGCAUUAAGUUGUCGGGCAGGGGAUACCCAUCGUUUACUGUGAAAAAAUUAGAGUGUUUAAAGCAGGCUUAUGCCGUUGAAUAUAUUAGCAUGGAAUAAUAAGAUAGGACUUCGGAACUAUUUUGUUGGUUUGCGUUACGAAGUAAUGAUUAAUAGGGACAGUUGGGGGUAUUCGUAUUUCGUUGUCAGAGGUGAAAUUCUUGGAUUUCCGAAAGACGAACUACUGCGAAAGCAUUUACCAAGGAUGUUUUCAUUG
rnacentral:rRNA from 1 species